rnacentral:rRNA from 1 species
AUGGAAGGCGGAUACAAGCUCACACGCACACGAUGUUGGCCGAAGCCACCAGUUCCUUCCCAGAUCCACACGCAACACACACCAAGGAUUGUGAGCAAUGGAAGGUACAAGGGUGUGCUCCACCGCGCAUUGGUCGACCGAACCCAGGCGAGGAUGUCGUGCGUGAGCCUGCUCAGGCCGUGCCUGGACGCCGUUGUCGAGCCAGUACCAGAGCUGGCCGUGUCACCCCUGGGCCUAGAGUUCGGGGGGUCAGGUAUAGGUACUACAUGGAACACCAGCAGAGCAACAAGCUCAAUGAGAAGGCAACACUGGACCUCGUUCGGGUGUAGCGUCACAUACAUACUCACACGCCUAGCAAUUCUUGAAUUUACUAGGUAA